rnacentral:rRNA from 1 species
UACGUAGGGGGCAAGCGUUGUCCGGAUUUAUUGGGCGUAAAGAGCGUGUAGGCGGCUUUACAGGUCCGUUGUGAAAACUCGAGGCUCAACCUCGAGACGCCGGUGGAAACCGUAAAGCUAGAGUCCGGAAGAGGAGAGUGGAAUUCCUGGUGUAGCGGUGGAAUGCGCAGAUAUCAGGAGGAACACCGAUAGCGAAGGCAGCUCGCUGGGACGGUACUGACGCUGAGGCGCGAAAGCGUGGGGAGCGAACAGG